GCCCAUUCUCUUGAAGGCGAAAUACAAUACGAUGAAGUGCUUUCAGCAUUGAAAAAUAUGAAAAAUGAAAAAAGCCCUUGUCUUGAAACUAUCAAUUCUA